rnacentral:rRNA from 1 species
AUUGAACGCUGGCGGCAUGCUUUACACAUGCAAGUCGAACGGCAGCACGGACUUCGGUCUGGUGGCGAGUGGCGAACGGGUGAGUAAUACAUCGGAACGUGCCCAGUUGUGGGGGAUAAUUACUCGAAAGAGUAGCUAAUACCGCAUGAGAACUGAGGUUGAACGCAGGGGAUCGUAAGACCUUGCGCAACUGGAGCGGCCGAUGGCAGAUUAGGUAGUUGGUGGGAUAAAAGCUUACCAAGCCGACGAUCUGUAGCUGGUCUGAGAGGACGACCAGCCACACUGGGACUGAGACACGGCCCAGACUCCUACGGGAGGCAGCAGUGGGGAAUUUUGGACAAUGGGCGAAAGCCUGAUCCAGCAAUGCCGCGUGCAGGAUGAAGGCCUUCGGGUUGUAAACUGCUUUUGUACGGAACGAAAAGCUUCGGGCUAAUACCCUGGAGUCAUGACGGUACCGUAAGAAUAAGCACCGGCUAACUACGUGCCAGCAGCCGCCGUAAGAC